rnacentral:rRNA from 1 species
AUGAAUGUGGACGCGGCAGUGUCCAUGCAAGGGGAGUAUGGCGCAGCGGGAGCGGUGUGUCGAGACCACAAUGGAAGAUUCUUGGGUGCUUCAGUCUUAAAACUUGAAUUCAUCAUAGAUGUGAGCACACUUGAGGCAAUAGCAGUAAGGGAAGGCCAAGCUCUGGCUGAGGAUCUAUAUGAGAAUUCAAUUCAAAUUGCAUCAGACUGCAAGAGGGUGGUUGAAGAUGUCCAAAAGAACUCGGCGGCUGGAUAUGGAGCUAUUGUGCAUGAGAUAAUACUUCGUGCAAACUCUUUUAUUUCAUGUAAAGUAGUUCAUGAGUUUAGGAGCUUGAAUUUCGAGGCUCGCAAUCUCGCUAGAUAUGCUUUGUCUUUAGGUGUUGGCCGUCAUGUGUGGUUAGGACAGCCAGGAGACCUUGAUUUCCUUCCUGUAAACAUUAUGGAUGAUGAAUAA